rnacentral:rRNA from 1 species
GACGAACGCUGGCGGCGUGCUUAACACAUGCAAGUCGAACGGUGAAGCGCCUUCCUUUUUGGUGGGUGUGGAUGAGUGGCGAACGGGUGAGUAACACGUGAGUAACCUGCCCCCUUCUUCUGGAUAACCGCAUGAAAGUGUGGCUAAUACGGGAUAUUCUGGGUCUGUCGCAUGAUGGGUCUGGGAAAGAUAUUGUUUCGGUGGGGGAUGGGCUCGCGGCCUAUCAGCUUGUUGGUGGGGUGAUGGCCUACCAAGGCGGUGACGGGUAGCCGGCCUGAGAGGGUGGACGGUCACACUGGGAAUGAGACACGGCCCAGACUCCUACGAGAGGCAGCAGUGGGGAAUAUUGCACAAUGGGCGCAAGCCUGAUGCAGCGACGCCGCGUGAGGGAUGGAGGCCUUCGGGUUGUGAACCUCUUUCGCCAGUGAAGCAGGCCUGCCUCGUUUGUGGGUGGGUUGACGGUAGCUGGAUAAGAAGCGCCGGCUAACUACGUG